ACCAUUGUGGCAUAGUGGUUUGAGUGUUAAAAUAUGACUCUGGAGACCAGGGUUCAAUUCCCGGCUGGGCCA